rnacentral:rRNA from 1 species
UACGUAGGCAGCGAGCGUUGUUCGGAAUUACUGGGCGUAAAGAGUGUGUAGGCGGUGCUCCCAGUCUGUUGUGAAAUCUCCCGGCUUAACUGGGAGGGUGCAGCGGAAACUAGAGUGCUAGAGGGUGGGAGAGGUAAGCGGAAUUCCUGGUGUAGCGGUGAAAUGCGUAGAUAUCAGGAGGAACACCUGUGGUGUAGACAGCUUACUGGACCACCUCUGACGCUGAGACACGAAAGCGUGGGUAGCAAACAGG